rnacentral:rRNA from 1 species
UACGUAGGGGGCGAGCGUUGUCCGGAUUUACUGGGCGUAAAGCGCGUGUAGGCGGCUGCUUAAGUCGGGUGUGAAAGCCCGGGGCUCAACCCCGGGAUGCCGCCCGAGACUGGGCGGCUUGAGGUCGGAAGAGGGGAGUGGAAUUCCAGGUGUAGCGGUGAAAUGCGUAGAGAUCUGGAGGAACACCCGUGGCGAAGGCGGCUCCCUGGUCCGACUCUGACGCUGAGACGCGAAAGCGCGGGGAGCGAACGGG